CUUCCGUAAGGGGAACCUGCGGAAGGAUCAUUAGUGAAUAUAGGACGUCCAACUUAACUUGGAGUCCGACCUCUCACUUUCUAACCCUGUGCAUUUGUUUGGGAUAGUAACUCUCGCAAGAGGGCGAACUCCUAUUCACUUAUAAAACACAAAGUCUAUGAAUGUAUUAAAUUUUAUAACAAAAUAAAACUUUCAACAACGGAUCUCUUGGCUCUCGCAUCGAUGAAGAACGCAGCGAAAUGCGAUAAGUAAUGUGAAUUGCAGAAUUCAGUGAAUCAUCGAAUCUUUGAACGCACCUUGCGCUCCAUGGUAUUCCGUGGAGCAUGCCUGUUUGAGUGUCAUGAAUACUUCAACCCUCCUCUUUCUUAAUGAUUGAAGAGGUGUUUGGUUUCUGAGCGCUGCUGGCCUUUACGGUCUAGCUCGUUCGUAAUGCAUUAGCAUCCGCAAUCGAACUUCGGAUUGACUUGGCGUAAUAGACUAUUCGCUGAGGAAUUCUAGUCUUUGGACUAGAGCCGGGUUGGGUUAAAGGAAGCUUCUAAUCAGAAUGUCUACAUUUUAAGAUUAGAUCUCAAAUCAGGUAGGACUACCCGCUGAACUUAAGCAUAUCAAUAAGCGGAGGAA
rnacentral:rRNA from 1 species